UUAUCUGGUGAACAGAGUUCUCUUCUUGUCCAUAGAAUAGAUACAACACUAGCAGCACUGCUUUAUCAAUGUAUCUGAGCCUAUUCUGGAUGGGCCCCCUCUAGUGGUGAGAUGGGAGUUCAGUCUCUAUGCCCAUUCAAUCCCUGGUUUCC
ensembl:misc_RNA